CGGCGGACGGGUGAGUAACGCGUGGGUAACCUGCCUUAUACAGGGGGAUAACAGUUAGAAAUGACUGCUAAUACCGCAUAAGCGCACAGUACCGCAUGGUACAGUGUGAAAAACUCCGGUGGUAUAAGAUGGACCCGCGUCUGAUUAGCCAGUUGGCGGGGUAAUGGCCCACCAAAGCGACGAUCAGUAGCCGACCUGAGAGGGUGACCGGCCACAUUGGGACUGAGACACGGCCCAAACUCCUACGGGAGGCAGCAG
rnacentral:rRNA from 1 species